rnacentral:ncRNA from 2 species
AGUGAAGAUAGAGGUGCGAACUUCAAGAGUAAAAGUCAGGAGAAUUGUAGGAUUCAUUGAUGGACUUUGAAAGGGGAUGUUCGCCGAAGUGGGGAAAUACCUAUCGAUUUUCUCGCUGGUCCUUCGUUGAAUAAACGCUGGAUUGUCAAGAUUGCCAUCUUGGAGUGCUAUCUCAUGU